GUUUCUUCAAUAGAUAGGACAUUACCGGCAAUGGAUGACCUAACCUCAGUUUCCUUUAGCUGACACACAUUUGUAGGUUGUCUCUUCAAUCUGAAAUAUUUGUUAUGUUCCAGGUUGGUUGAUAAUUUACCUGGGGGUCGAGUGAUAGAAGGGGAAGGAUUACAAGUUUCCAAAC